rnacentral:lncRNA from 1 species
CAGAGGGCGGCGGUGAAGCACAGCCAGGAGUGCAAAGGGACGUGGCCGGGCUUGAGCGGCCGCCCUGCGAGGCGGUGGCUGAGAAGAAUGACAGCGGCGGGGCCGCUUUCGGCGGCUGGCGGAGGUGCGGUCGCAGCAGAGCUGCCAUUUCAAGAUAGCGAAGCGCCCGCGUUCCAGGACCCUGCAUGAGCCGGGUCGGGCUCCAGCCACACUCAAGAUGGCGGCUGCGGCAGGACUCCGGCAGAGGCCUCGCCGCCGCUCCGGUGCCGCUGACCCCGCCAACCAUUUUCUCCCUCCGGGAAAGGCAGGAGAAAAUCGCGCUCUGAGCGCGGGAUCGGCAUCGAGGCCGGGAUGAAGCAGCCCACUAGACAAACGCCUGCGUGAGGAGCGGGGGGCCUUGAAGAUACGACAACACGAAUGGCGGCUCGGCCAUGGCUUCUGCCGGUACCAAAAACUGAGGCGAGGAAAUCCAGGAGCAAUGGCUGCUGGCUCCUGGCAUCCUGGGCUUGCCAGGCAGGUUUUGUACUUGAUUGCGAGGCAGUUUUCCUGCCCCUGCAGGGGGUGGCACCUGCAUCCCACUGGAAAGGGGAGAGAAGUCACCUCACGCCACACCGAAGAUGGCGGCACAGCGCGCCACUCACUGGCCCUUCCAAGGAUGGCGACAAUCAUGCGCCUUCGGCAGAUUGCUGAGCACUGGGGAGAGUAUUUGGGAUAAAGAAAUUAAAGGCACAAAGGAAGCUCCACACUCCCGAGGGAAUGCUUUAGGCAUGUGCAGCUUCUGAACCUCACCAAUAAUCCUGGCUGCUACAGAAACCUUCUGAAGCUGGAAGGGACAGGGAAGACAAUUCCAGGAGCUGUGGGAAGUGCUUUCUCCUGAUUCUGGAUGGCACUGAGGUCAGAAUGAGUUCCACAUUAUCCUUGUGCCUCUUCUGUUGCCAGUCCAGGACUAAGUUGGUGUUCCAUGAGUGGCUGCAGCUCCCUGAGUGUGGACAGAAGAAGCCUGUGCUGGAGAAUGGGAGAGAGGUCCCUGCUGGUUGCUGUGUCCUCAGUGGGUACAGAACUCUGGCCAGAUGGGACAGGGAGAACCUCUGAACUUGUCCUGGCCUUGCCAAGAGCUUUGGUGUUUGAGCUGACAAAACUAAACUGGUCCUGCCCUGGUAGGUCACAGGUUCCUCUUCUCCUCUCUGCUGUGACAGGCUCUGUAAGGAAUGCCAUUUCCAGCAGCCUGCUUUGCUGGAAAAGGGCAGAGGGGAAUAGGAAAUGUGGUGCCAGAGCUGUGUCCCACCAGGUUGUGUUUCCUUCCCUCUGA